UACGAAGGGGGGCGAGCGUUGUUCGGAAUCACUGGGCGUAAAGGGCGCGUAGGCGGCCCUCUUAGUCGCGUGUGAAAUCCCGGGGCUCAACCCCGGAACUGCCUUUGAUACUGAUAGUCUCGAGUCCGGAAGAGGUGAGUGGAAUUCCGAGUGUAGAGGUGAAAUUCGUAGAUAUUCGGAGGAACACCAGUGGCGAAGGCGGCUCACUGGUCCGGUACUGACGCUGAGGUGCGAAAGCGUGGGGAGCAAACAGGG
rnacentral:rRNA from 1 species